AAUACAGAGACAAAACAAAGCCUCCUUACUCUAAGCUUGCUUUCUACCGAAGUGGGGAGUGGGAGUGGGUGAAAACUAAAAAUGCUACACAAAUAACGUAUAAUGGAAGGUAAUUUGAGAAGAUAGAAAAGUACUAGCAACUGGGACAAUCCAAGAAAGAAGUCAAUUAAUAAAAAAGAAAAAUAAAUUAAUGGAUGUGCUAAGCCAAAAUCAUCCCUUAGAAUCUUGAUUUCACUGGACCUAGUUAUCGAAGUCCAGUGGCAAGACAAAAGUCAAGAUGAAUGACCAUGGCCCCAGGAUGCAGUGGAUACACGAAGGAGUGUCUUCUCAGCUCUGAAUGCUCCACAGUGCCUACUUUAGCUGACUUCAUGACCAUUGCAACAAAUUGUUCUCCUCUGCCCAGUCCCCUGGGGAAAAGUCUUCACAUGCUUGGGGUAGACAUCCACUUAGUUUAGCCCAUCACAGUCUUAGUGGGGUGGGCCACUGCUUCUUGGAGAGUUGAGUGAGAGCUAACAUCAAGAUUCAGACAACAAACAGACUUGGAAAAGUUGAAGGAGCAUCAGUGAUGCCUGCCAUACAGAAAAGCUGAGCAAUAGUUUAUAGUAGUGUACCCAAGAUGUGUGGAAAACUACUCUCUGUCUCUCUGUCUCUCUGUCUCUCUUUCUCUCUCUCUCUCUCUCUCUCUCUCUCUCUCUCUCUCUCACACACACACACACACACACACACACACUGAUACAUUUCACUUUUACUCUCAUUUCCUAAUAUAAAGCCACUGGACAUUAUGAUUAAUCUGAACUGAGUUGCCUUUUAGAGUUGUUUGCACUUACAUUUUUAUAAUCAUUUUGUAUACUGUUCACUUGACUCUACUUACUUGAUUCUUCCUAGCUAUUUUCAAAAACUUCUGAGAAAAGAUAGGUAGGAUUAUAGGAUCUGAGUUUCUAUACAGGAGAGAGGCCUAAAAGAGGGAGGAGGAUCACAAAGUACUCAUUUUGCAUCUUAACAAUGUUCAAGUUAUCCAAAAUAAUUAUUCCACCUCUAAAUUGUUUUUCUAAUUUUUCAGGUGAAAUAUCUCUAUGAGUUGAUUUUUUGUUGUUGUUCAACUCUCUCU